GAAUAUUGUUGGAUAUUCAGGCGAUUAAUUGACGACUAUUGUUGGAUAUUGAGACGAUUUGAGAUUGUUAUCAGAUCUAAUGUUAUUCUCCAGGAAAUCAAAAUCAUUUCUUUCCUCUCCGACGACAGCCACCACCACCAUCUUCAUCACCGCACCUCCGCUCCAGCACCACCUCGAUCUACUUCCGCCAUCACCUACUAGUACUACCUCCACAAAUCCCACCACCAGUUCCAACACCACCUCCUAUACUUCCACUAAAUCCACCACCAGUAACACCACCACCUCCACAUCCUAAACAACAUUAGGUUUUAUAGCAAUUUCAACUGUAUUUGGGUUUGAAAAACCUAAAAUCGAUGAUGUUCUAUAUCAAUUUGGAAGAGAUAAUGAAGAUCAAUAUUAGUAAUUGGAUCCGAAGAUUUAAUCAUCAAAAAUAUUAAAAGAUAAGUUUUAUCUCUUAUUUUCAUUUUAAUUUGAUGAUUCAGAUACUGAUUUUUGUACUUUGAAUAACAAUUCCAUCGGGGUGAACUAAAAUGUAGGAGGUUGUGGUGGUGGCGCUGGUUUUGGUUAUGGAGGAUGAUAAGUCAUACAAUUAAUACUCAUAGAAGAUUUUUUAAUCGUUGUUACUCAUAGAACCAUUAGGUGUAUUACGCAUCUCAUUUCCAUUUUUUUUUAUUUUUUUUUUGUGGCAUCUAUUUGAUUACUUGCGACUGUUGUGGAGUUUCUGGGCAUCAGAACUUGUGGAAAAUUAUAAUAGCCAUGUUAGAGUUGAGACAGAAGCUUGUGGAAAUAAUAGUAGAGAGAGUGCAUGAAGAUCAGUUUGAUUCGGCUUCUUUAAUAUCAAAUGUUCUUAAAGUUUAUGUAUAUGAAAUGCCAGCCAAAUUCACUUAUGAUCUACUAUGGUUGUUUAGGAAUACUUAUAAAGGAUACUCAAAUCUCACUUCUAAUGGCAGACCUGUGCAUCGUUUGAUCGAGUAAGUAAGGAUUUGUUUGAUACUGAGUUGGAUAAUAGUUUUUUUUCUUUCCUUUUUGUUCUUUUUUUGAAACUUUAUGAGAUUUGAUACUGGUAUCACUACUGUUAUGCUACUCAUCUCAUUUCCUUGUUUGUUUGCUCGUGAUUUGAAUUCAGUACUCAUGUUUAUUUGUUCAUAUUAGACGAACUUGUGGUUUUACCUUCAUGUCAGUCUAAGAACAUUGAGUCGGGUGGAGGAGUUACAGCUGAAAGGAGUUUUACAUUUGAUCCUCUACGUCAGUCUAAGAAGGUUGGACUUGAAAAUGGAGUGAAUCCUGACUUGGUUGACGGCCGAUUUUCAUGAUACAUUCUCCCCAAAUGCUGUCAGGGAGAUUUCAUUUUUCUUUGGAGAGGUGUCGUCAACAGGUCAUUCUAAUUCCUUUAUAUCUGUUCAUAUACAACAUGUAGAAUUUAAGGUUCAGUAUUCUUUUUAUCCAUAUAUGAAGUUAGUUACUAAUGGUGAUAAAUAAGAUCUCAUUUAGUAAACACCACCAAUCUACUGAUUACGUCGACCUUUUGUGCCCUGUAAGCAUAUGGUGGCCUUCUUGAACAACAUAGUGGCCUUCUUAACAAAUCUAUUUUGUAUUACUACUCUUAGUUUGUUCAGAAUUGAUCCAUUAAUUUGUCUCUGUACCUGAUUCAAAGUUAUAUAGAUGAAAUGAAGUUUUCUGUGGAUAAAAAUUCUCAACCAUCAUCACCGGUAUCCGUUUUCUUCUUUUGCUGCUGCUGUUAUCUUUACAUCAUCACUAGUAGUCCGUUGUUCAACUUAUCAGAAGCUCAAACUACUGACCCAGUUGAAGGUUGAAUUCUAUUUGUUGGAAUGAAUGCUAAGGACUGAGUGAUGGUGGUGGUUCCGGUGGUGGAGUGGUGGUGGCGGCGGUGGAAUGAUGGUGGCGGCGGCCGUGAAGUGGUAAAGAGAAAUUUAUUUUUAUUUUGAAAUAAAGAAAAAUAUUAUAUGGAUAAGAGUAUUAAGAUAAUCUAUUUUUAAAUGGAUUAGGUUUUCAAAUGAUAGGGGUGUAUUUAUUGUUAUAUAAGGCUAUAUUUAUUGGGUAUCAAAAUUAGGGGUAUAUAAUUAAUGUAUCCCUUAUGACAAUGCCGACAGUUUUAAAAUUCUCAUUUCUAUACAUCAAAAGAGCACUGCCAGCAUAGACGUGAAAUUUAAAACAAUGUCGCAAGCCAAUGUAGGCAUGGUAUUCAACCUAAAAUCAAUGCCGGAAUUAAACAUUCAGUUUCAGGUAAUUUUUGAUGUCUACGCCGGCAUGGUAUUCAA